rnacentral:rRNA from 1 species
GAUGAACGCUGGCGGCGUGCCUAAUACAUGCAAGUCGAGCGAACAGACGAGGAGCUUGCUCCUCUGACGUUAGCGGCGGACGGGUGAGUAACACGUGGAUAACCUACCUAUAAGACUGGGAUAACUUCGGGAAACCGGAGCUAAUACCGGAUAAUAUAUUGAACCGCAUGGUUCAAUAGUGAAGGACGGUUUUGCUGUCACUUAUAGAUGGAUCCGCGCCGCAUUAGCUAGUUGGUAAGGUAACGGCUUACCAAGGCGACGAUGCGUAGCCGACCUGAGAGGGUGAUCGGCCACACUGGAACUGAGACACGGUCCAGACUCCUACGGGAGGCAGCAGUAGGGAAUCUUCCGCAAUGGGCGAAAGCCUGACGGAGCAACGCCGCGUGAGUGAUGAAGGUCUUCGGAUCGUAAAACUCUGUUAUUAGGGAAGAACAAAUGUGUAAGUAACUAUGCACGUCUUGACGGUACCUAAUCAGAAAGCCACGACUAACUACGUG